CUUGGAAAAAGACCACCACUGUCUCACCUUUAUAAAACCAUGCUUGUUGAUCCUAAAUUUCACCACAAUUAAGAAGGAAGUUUCUUGCGUUUGAUCAUCGACCAAGCAUGCAGCUCAACUUAACUUCCAUCAAAACCUCAUCUGAUGGAGCCUGGCAAGGAGAUAAUCCUCUGAACCAUGCCUUUCCGCUAUUAAUACUUCAAACAACCCUAGUGCUCUUCAGCACUCGCUUCCUCGCCUUCCUUCUCAAGCCCCUCCGACAACCCAGAGUCAUUGCUGAAAUAAUAGGUGGAAUUUUGCUUGGACCUUCUGCUCUUGGCCGAAACAAGCACUUGUUUCGAUUAGUGUUCCCUUCAUGGAGCACUCCCAUACUUGAAUCUGUGGCUAGCAUUGGCCUUCUUUUCUAUCUUUUUCUUGUAGGUCUCGAACUUGAUUUUAGCUCAAUUCGACAGAGCGGCAAAAGAGCAUUUGGAAUAGCAAUUGCCGGUAUCUCCCUCCCUUUCCUGUUUGGAGUUGCUUUAUCCUUCUUUCUACGCAAAACAGUACAUGGAGAGGACAAGGUCGGUUAUGGCCAGUAUCUUUUGUUCAUGGGAGUUGCUCUCUCGAUUACUGCUUUUCCUGUUCUUGCCCGCAUUCUUGCUGAACUCAAACUGUUAACAACCCAAGUGGGACAGACAGCAAUGGCUGCUGCCGCAUUCAAUGACGUGGCCGCAUGGAUCUUGUUGGCUCUAGCGGUAGCACUCGCCGGAAAUGGUUCCACCGGGGACUCUAGGAGCCCAUUAAUAUCAUUAUGGGUUCUGAUUUCUGGAGUUGCUUUUGUUGCUUUCAUGCUGGUUUUUGUCAGACCCAUGAUGAAUUGGGUUGCCAAGAAAUGCUCCCAGCCGCAAGAUUUUCUUGACGAAGCAUGCAUAUGUGUAACCCUAGCCGGGGUAAUGCUAUCCGGGUUUAUGAGUGACCUUAUCGGGAUCCAUGCAAUUUUCGGUGCUUUUGUCUUUGGUUUAACGAUUCCUAAAGAAGGGGAAUUUGCUAGGAGAUUGAUUAUAAGGAUCGAAGAUUUCGUUUCUGGUUUGCUUCUUCCACUUUACUUUGCUUCAAGUGGGUUAAAGACAGACGUGGCUAAAAUCCGAGGGGUUCAGGCUUGGGGGCUGCUAGUGCUGGUUGUGUCGACGGCAUGUGCAGGAAAGAUUCUGGGGACCUUUGUGGUGGCUAUGCUGUGUAUGAUUCCAGCAAGGGAAUCUUUGGCUCUCGGAGUGUUGAUGAACACAAAAGGAUUGGUAGAGCUCAUAGUUCUAAAUAUUGGCAAGGAGAAGAAGAUUCUGAAUGACGAGAUGUUUGCUAUUCUAGUGCUGAUGGCAAUCUUUACCAGCUUAAUGACAACUCCAACAGUCAUGGCAAUAUACAAACCUUCACGUCGUGCUUGCCAAGCAGAGAGGCAAUCACCAAGUGAUGAAAAUUCACAUGGUAUGACUCGAAUCCUGGCCUGUAUCCAGGGACCUCAAAAUGUACCAGCACUUAUUAAUCUCAUCGACUCGACCACAAGUGCAAAAACAUCCCCUCUCAAGCUCUAUGUUAUGCAUCUUGUCGAACUCACCGAUCGCUCAUCCUCCAUCAUGAUGGUUCAACGCACUCGAAAGAAUGGUUUUCCUUUCAUCAACCGCUUCUCUCCAGGAACCUCCAAAGAUCAAAUAGAAGCUGCAUUUGAGGCAUAUGGUCAUGCUACUCCACUCACGAUUCGUCACUCCACAUCCAUCUCAGCAUUAUCGACGAUGCAUGAGGAUAUUUGCCACGUGGCUGAAGAUAAAAGGGUAGCCAUGAUUAUCUUGCCCUUCCACAAGCAAUGGAGAGAAGGGGAAGAGGACGAGGAUGUGGGACUUAAAUGGAGAGAGGUCAACCAGAAUGUCCUUAAGAACUCACCAUGCUCAGUCGCCAUACUUGUGGAUUGUGGAUUCAGUGGCACGGAUCAGGAGGCAUACGAUGGCACGGAUCAGGAGGUAGGAACUGCUACAACAAUAUACAGAAGGGUUUGCAUUUUGUUCUUGGGUGGUCCAGAUGAUCGGAAAGCUCUGGAGGUGGGUGCCAGGAUGGCUGAACACCCAGCUAUUACUGUGACUCUAAUAAGAUUCCAGGUGCAAGCUGGGUUGGAAAGUAGGAACUCAUCGAAUAAUUUUAGAGACAAGGAAAUGGACGAAGUUGCAGUAGAAGAGUUGAGAAGAAAGUGCAAUGGAUCAGUCAAGUAUGUGGAGAAGGAUGUUAACAAUGUAAGUGAGGAAGUGCUUAAUAUAGGGCAAAGUAGAGCAUUUGAUCUUUUCAUUGUAGGAAGGGAAGUUUCGGUAGCAAAAUUAGCAGACAAUCAGGCAGAGCAUCCAGAAUUAGGCCUCAUAGGAGAUAUUUUAGCUUCAUCGCACAAUGGCAUGGCACGCUCUGUGCUGGUGAUCCAACAAAAACCUCCAACGUGCCAAUGAGCACCAAUGAGACCACAACCGUAUGAAAAACCGUUCAAGACAAAGAAGCAGAUUCUGUAAUCAUAAAUAAUGAAUCCUCUGUGUGCUAAAAUAAGGAACCAAUAAUUAAUUAUCGUUAUGGGUUUUGGUAUAUGAAUUAUCACUCUUAGCUCCCUUCAGCAAAUAAGAUUUAGUUGCCACCAGAUAUGUUGAUUCAGUUGGUUGUUGCUAUAAAUUUUACAAAUUUAAAA
rnacentral:misc_RNA from 1 species